GACCUUACCUACCCUUGACAUGUCCGGAAUCCGAAGAGAUUUGGAGUACUCGCAAGAGAACCGGAACACAGGUGCUGCAUGGCUGUCGUCAGCUCGUGUCGUGAGAUGUUGGGUUAAGUCCCGCAACGAGCGCAACCCUUGUCAUUAGUUGCUACAUUCAGUUGGGCACUCUAAUGAGACUGCCGGUGACAAACCGGAGGAAGGUGGGGAUGACGUCAAGUCCUCAUGGCCCUUAUAGGUGGGGCUACACACGUCAUACAAUGGCCGGUACAGAGGGUAGCCAACCCGCGAGGGGGAGCUAAUCCCACAAAGCCGAUCGUAGUCCGGAUCGCAGUCUGCAACUCGACUGCGUGAAGUCGGAAUCGCUAGUAAUCGUGGAUCAGCAUGUCACGGUGAAUACGUUCCCGGGUCUU
rnacentral:rRNA from 1 species